rnacentral:tRNA from 1 species
GGGAGCAUAGCUCAGCUGGGAGAGCAUCUGCCUUACAAGCAGAGGGUCACAGGUUCGAGCCCUGUAGGUCCCA